UCGCCCUGUUUUUCAAAAACAUGUCUUAAUGUUAAUAAUAUUAGGUUUGGCCUGCUCAAUGAUUUUAUUAAAUAGCCGCAGUAUUUUGACUGUGCGAAGGUAGCAUAAUCAUUUGUCUUUUAAUUGAAGGCUGGAAUGAAUGGUCGGAUGAGGGAAUAACUUUCUUUAUAUUAAUAGAUUGAAUUUAAUUUUUAGGUGAAAAAGCUUAAAUUUUAAAGGGGGACGAGAAGACCCUAUAGAAUUUUAUUUUUAAAUAAUUAUAGAUUUAUUUUGUUUAUAAAAUUCUUAUUUAUUUAAAAAUUUUGUUGGGGUGACAUUGAGAUUUACAUAACUCUCAAAUUUAAUUUGUUAUUUAUUUAUAUAUUUUAGAUCCUUUAUUGAGGAAUGUAGAUUAAAUUACCUUAGGGAUAACAGCGUAAUUUUUUUGGAGAGUUCUUAUCGAUAAAAGAGUUUGCGACCUCGAUGUUGGAUUAAAAUUAGAUUUAAGUGCAGCAGCUUAAUUUCUAGGUCUGUUCGACCUUUGAAAUUUUACAUGAUCUAGUUUCCACCGGGAC
rnacentral:rRNA from 1 species